rnacentral:rRNA from 1 species
CUGACUGCUAUCGGAUUGAUACUAAGCCAUGCGAGUCAUUGUAGCAAUACAAGGCAGACGGCUCAGUAACGCGUAGUCAACCUAACCUAUGGACGGGAAUAACCUCGGGAAACUGAGAAUAAUGCCCGAUAGAACACUAUAUCUGGAAUGGUUUGUGUUCCAAAUGAUUUAUCGCCGUAGGAUGGGACUGCGGCCUAUCAGUUUGUUGGUGAGGUAAUGGCCCACCAAGACUAUUACGGGUACGGGCUCUGAGAGGAGUAGCCCGGAGAUGGGUACUGAGACACGGACCCAGGCCCUAUGGGGCGCAGCAGGCGAGAAAACUUUGCAAUGUGCGAAAGCACGACAAGGUUAAUCCGAGUGGUUUGUGCUAAACAGACCUUUUGUUAGUCCUAGAAACACUAACGAAUAAGGGGUGGGCAAGUUCUGGUGUCAGCCGCCGCGGUAAAACCAGCACCUCAAGUGGUCAAGAUGAUUAUUGGGCCUAAAGCAUCCGUAGCCGGCUCUGUAAGUUUUCGGUUAAAUCUGUAUGCUCAACAUACAGGCUGCCGGGAAUACUGCAGAGCUAGGGAGUGGGAGAGGUAGACGGUACUCGGUAGGAAGGGGUAAAAUCCUUUGAUCUAUUGAUGACCACCUGUGGCGAAGGCGGUCUACCAGAACACGUCCGACGGUGAGGGAUGAAAGCUGGGGGAGCAAACCGGAUUAGAUACCCGGGUAGUCCCAGCUGUAAACUAUGCAAACUCAGUGAUGCAUUGGCUUGUGGCCAAUGCAGUGCUGCAGGGAAGCCGUUAGGUUUGCCGCCUGGGAAGUACGUACGCAAGUAUGAAACUUAAAGGAAUUGGCGGGGGAGCACCACAAGGGGUGAAGCCUGCGGUUC